GGGGCCCCACCCUCCCCACCGCCACAGCUGGCCCGGGCGGCCCCCGGCCCCUGCCCCAGCCCCAGCCCGGGAGAACUGGCCGCCUCUCCGGCUGGAGGCGUUGGCGCGGGAGGCCAGGACCAGGGAAGAAAUCCCGGGGAGGGGCCACCGCCUGGGGACUUGAGGCGCGGGUCCUGGAGGUGAGGGCGUCCCUGCCGUGGCCCGUGAUUAGGGAUAGGUUCUCCCGGCCUCGCACUGGGGAGCCUACCCAUUGGAGCCCAGACAACCGGGGCGAGCGUAGGCCUGGGUACCCCGAGCUGGGGCAGCGAGAAUCCUAGCCACUGAAAUGACUUCCCCCACACCCCCAGGUGGAGAGGGGGAGGGGAAGGAAAGCCUGUGCUCCGGAAGAGGGGUUCGGUGUGGGGAGCCGCGUCACUGAGUCACUGGGUACCCUCAGUUCAGGGGUGACCCAGUGUGGAGCCAGGAGGGGGAAGGGAGGGGCCGAAGGGACUGAGUUUCCAGGAGCACAGUUGUUAAGGUAAGCCACAAGGUGGGACACCUGGAGGAGAGCGUUCAUUCGGUGAGCGUGUUUGCCUGCGACAGGGGCACUUAUUAGCUAGCUCCAGAAAAACAGUUGGCUAAACAUUUGUUUUGAAGGAGGCUGAGGAGAAUGAGGAAUGUUAGGACUACUCUCCACACCUCGGGUCAGAUGGCUGAUAGGACCCACCUUCCAGGACAUUGGUUUGAUUUGGCAGAGCUGGAGCCUGUGCUUAGAGGGACAAGAUCUCCUGGCUUCCCAGGCAGAACUGUGAUGGCAUCUCUUGUUCUGGGAAUGGGCGAGUGGCCCCCCUCUGAGGGGGGCGGUUCUCCCCCUUGGGCCCUGAGGGGCCCCAACCUCUGGGAGGUCUGAGCUGAGAGAAUUCCACCACAUCUAACAGCUUCCCCUACUGUUGCCCUGGAGGAGCCUCAGCAUGGCCCAGGUCCCCCUUUCAGUAGGCGGGAGCCCCUGCACUCAGCUCCCACUCCAGGCUUCCACCCUCCCUCCCAACACACCUUCUUUGCCAAGAGAAAAGAGAGAGCAGGUAGAGCCAGCCAGGAAGGACAGAGACCCAUGGUUAAGAGGCAGGCUGUGUUGUCACAUAGACCUGGAGAACUCACUUUGGGACCGUGUGACCUUGAAUACCGCUUAAGCUUUUGAGCUGGCAUUUCUCAUCUGUAGAAUGGGAAUAAUAACAGUACUUACCUGCUGAGGUGCUGUAUGGAUUAAAUGAGAUUAUGUUUGUAAAAGCCCUUAACACAGAGUUGGACGCAUUUGGAGCUUCAUAAAUGUUAGUUGUUACUGUUGUCAUUGUUCUUGAGCUCCUGCCGUCUCCUUCUCCCUUUGCUUCACUAUCUUCAAGGGACUUAGGGGGAAGGAACAGAUACAUCCCUCUUUCUCAGGGGAGCUGUGAGGCAGGCCACUAGGAGUUCUGGAGCUCAGGCUGGGCCACUGCCCGGAAGAGAGAUACCUAUCUGGGAGGGAUGGGCCCAGUCCUAGAAGCCAAGAGAGGAUGGCAUGCCUCUAGGGGAAGGCUCGGGGAAGAGGAGGCACUGGAAGGGCCUGGGAGUGAGCAAGGGAGGGGCUGAGGAAGCAGAUGGGAUAUGGGAACAAAGGGCAGCAUGUUAGCGUUAAAGGAAACUUUCUGAAGCUAUUUUAUGUGUGGGCGUGGCGCCAGGAGCUGCUGAGCUAUCCCAGGGGGCUGUGGGCUGCUGGUGGUCCCUGGACCUUGCCUGAUGAGCAGUAGUUGGCACCCUGGUAUUCUGGCCACAUUUCAACGCCAAGGAGUGACCUAGGUUUCUCCCCUGGAGCACUUUAUUCAUCCCCCUCCUUUCAGAAGCUCUUGGGCUCCUGCUCCGUGUUGUUAGGGGAGCUAGCCUCUCCUAGGAAAGUGUACCCCUUUCCCACAGACAAAUGAGGAAACUGAUGUUUCUGAAAUCCCAAGAUGGCCCGUCUGAGGCUUGUUUUUUCCUUAGGUCCCUUGCCCCCCAAUUGCUAAUCACCAGCCCUUCUCCUUAUGUCUCUUCCACCUUCUCUCUUUUGGGACACCUCCUUCCUGCUAGAGGGGCAAACGUGCAGUUUCCCCUCACAGGUCACAGGGUCAUCCUCAGAGUCCUCUGGGGGCCGAGCACUCUAGAGGAGGUGAAUCAGUGAACUGAGUGCCGGUCUCUCUAUAGCACACUCCCCAUCCCAGCCCCUCAGGGCCCUUGGUGUAUUGACCUAAAACCUGAGCAGGUGCUUCCUCUGCUUCUGAUGGGUGGGGUCUACCUUCUCCCAGGACGCAGAGGACUGUUUAGGAGUUUGGGUUCCAUGAGAAAGAAAAGAAACCUGUCUUUCUUCCCACUCGCCUUUUCAAAAUCUGCCCACUGGGCUUCUUGACUGCGUGGGUUCUGUUUGAAGCUACCUAAGGCACUUGUGAUUCUACCUCAUCUUGGGCAUGUCUUUCAGCAGUAACUACAGCCUAGGGUCAGAGUUGGAUGGUCAAGAAAAGCUUUCCCUGCAGUGAUCCAGAAAGUUUCCCAUGGAGUUGGAAAGGGCAGCCAGGAGGCAAAUCAAGGAGCCAAGAAAAUGGGUACUACCGAGUCAGCGUCAUUAAUUUAUCCGUUCAGGAAAAAUGCAACGGGCCCUGUAGCCAGGGCUGAGACCUGGAAAUUCCAAGAAGAGGAAUACCCGUCGUCACCUCUCUCAAGCUGCUCCAUGCCUAAGACACAUUCUUUUGCCAUGCUGGACAUUGAUCGAGGCACCUUUCCCAGAGAUUUUGGUAAAAUGGGGAAAACGAGGCAUUUCACCAGUUACUGCCAAGUCGGAGUUCAGAUUCUUGGAUUAUGUUGACGUGACCUCAGCUGGCACUUUUGUGAUUUACUGUUGAUGCCAUUUACCCGAAGAGCCUGUGAUGUUCCAGAGAAGGGCCUGCCAGGGAGUAGUGAGGACACCUCCCAGGCCAGCUGAGGCACUGACUGCCCCUCUUCUCUUUAGGCCGCAGGUAGGCAGGUGGCGUGGGCUGGAUCUGUGCCACGAGCCAGCCUUCCCCACACGGCUGUGCCGACCCGGAGAGUCGUGUGCAGGUGGGCAGCCCAUGCCUUAAUGGCCUCUGCUGGUUCCUCACCUGUUAAACUAAUUAAUUAAGGAUUCACUACAAAGCACUGUGCCAGACAUUUUAGAGGCCUAUUUGGUCCGCCUUUUCCUGCACACAGGCAAAAAGAGCUGAGGCCACAACGAGAUCUGGAAGUACUUGGUGAAGCACUCCUCACAGGUCGGGGAUCAAUUAGGAUCGUUGUUACUGUUGGGAAGCUCUUGCGGGCCUUACCAGCAGCUAAAUAAGGAUGCCAGGGUGCAGGAGGCAGCCAGCGACUGGGCAGGGGACCGAGAGUGCUAGUGCUGCAACAGAGUGCUAGAGGAGGCCAGACGAGAGGAGGCCCCGCUGACUAGAAGUGGCAGGGAAGGCUCUAGAAGGAAGGGAGGCUGAGGGGAGGCCUUACGGUGUGGGCUGCUUUUCAGUUCCUGGAGGGGAAGGAGCAGAUGGGAUAACAGGAGCAGAGACGACAGAGGUGGGAAUCCAGUGGGCGUUCAUGGGAUGCUGGGCAGUCUGGCUAGAACAGAAGGGAGUUUUUAGGGGAAGAGUGAGAACAUUCCUCUGCUUAUCUCUCUGUCUCCCAAGGUCUAAGGGCAUGAGGGUGAAACCAAACCUUAUUCCUCUUUGUUUUCAUCAUCCUGGUAUAGGGCCAGGCUCGAGCUUCAGACAUGUUGUUGAAUUAAUGGAUGAAUAAGAGCAGGGGUCCCUGAGGGCCUGGCUCAGAGGGUGGGCCUUGGGCCUCCACAGUGGAACAGAAGAAGGUUCCUGGGUUGGGUGAUGACUUGGUGACAGUGGCACUUGGGUACUGGCAGGGAGCAGGAGUUAAGACCCACAGCGGGGAGACCAGUCAAGGGCCGUGGCGGCAGCUGGGUUCCUCUCUCUGCCAUACACCUCUCCUGUAGCCGCCACACCAGACUCCACACGGGUCCCAUUCUCCUUUCCCUCCGGAAGUGGAGAACCAUUUGAACCAGUUAGGCUGGCAACUUCUGAAAGGGCCUCAUGUGAGCGGGGCUGCCUGCCCCAGCAGGGAGACUGUGUCCCAGCCUAGGUGACAUCUACAUGCAGGGGGCCUUUGGUUCCCUUUCUGCACAGUGGCUAGGAGUGUCACGUGAGCCACUCAUGAAGCUUGACAGGACUGCCAUCCUUGCUCUUCCCAGAGUACACGCGUCACAUGGUCUCCAGACCUUCUUAUUCGAAAGGCCACCUGGGCUCCAAGGACGCUGCCCAGUGAUUUUCCAGUUUGACCGGUUGAACAGCCGCUGUGGCUUCAGGGCUGCUUCCUGGAGCUGGCUUUGCUGGGCAGGAUCCCCUUUCUCUGAAAGUUCUGUGUGAGCUGGCUCUGGCUUGCCUGGGGCUAGGGCCCCAUGACUGAAGGGGAGGGAGCGGGAGUUGGGGGAGGACCUGAGGGCAUGAAUCAGAGCAGGAAUUGAGGGACACCUGCUUAGGCGCUGGGUGCCCUCUGCAGCUUGGGGAUCUGUGCCUGCUGUGGGCGGAGGGGCGCCUCACUACAGGAAGGCUGGGAAGGCUCUGAGAAGUCGAGGGGGGAAAUGGACAGACGGCUGACCUGCAUGAGAUUCCCCAUGGCCUUACCCGGCUCAGCCACCCUCAGGUGCUGAUUUAACAGCUCUUUCCUUAGUCUCCACAUCUGUAAAUUGAAGAGAGUAAUAGACUCUUUCUUAAAGGUCUGUUGUGAGGAUUAUAGAGGCUAAUAGGUGCAAAGCACUUGGCAGAGCCCUCGAUGGAAUGGUAGCUGCUGUGAUUCUGUGAUUAUUACCAUUCUUAUUCUGAUUGUUAUUCGUAGCGCAUAAGAACGUCGUAAAGAUUGAUAUGCUGUCAGCGAUGUCCUUUGAGGCCAAUGCUCACGCAUUCAGUGACUGGGGCGCUAUUCACUGAUACCCCACCACACUAGGUGCCUUCGAGGAGCUGGGGGGUCCAGCAAUGAACAAACAGGACAAAUCAGGGCACCAGCUCCCUCUCUGGGGGGUCACAGGAGUAGGCUCUGGGUUUCGUGUCCAAUUCUGUGCUGGCCUCUGUCCCUGCCCCUUCCCCCUCCCCUCCCCCACCCUUGCUCCAGCAGUGCGAGGCUCUGGGAAGGAAGGAAGGAGUUGGGGAGGAGUGGGGAGACAGGUGACCAGAGAUAGGAUGGGGGCUCUGUCGUGUCACCCUGCCUCAGGCCUCAUUCUGCAUACCCCAUUUCCCAAGGAUGUGAUCCCUGAGAACAGCUCUGAAACCCUCAGAGGCUUUCAUUUCAGCUGCUCUGCACACCUGUGCCACCUUCCCUGCUCCGCAGAACCACCCCCAGCUUGGAAGGCCCAGAUUCCUGGCCCUGCCUCCCUCCUCCUGCUCUCCUCCUGCUCUCCCUUCCUCCCCCGCUCCCCAGGCAUUUCAGUGAUGAGCUUUAUAGCAGGAAAGUCGAUAUUUGGCCAUUACCCUUCUACCCUGAUUGCCAGUUCUUCUCAGAAUGCUUUCUUUUGUAAUCUAAUAUUAGUGCCCGUUUCCCUGAAAAACUGCCAAUUUUCUGCACACGCGUGUGACCUCUCCUUGGCUUUCCUGCCUGGGCAGUGUGCUGUGUCGGGGGCCACGGGGCUCCCUGGACAUUUAACUCCUCCCACUGAGGAGGAGAGGAUUCAGCAUCAGCCUGGUUUUAUAACAGGGGAAACUAAGGCCCCAAGAACACCGAUGACUCACAUCUUGCAUGCAGGUGGCCCAAACUUGAACCCCCUCCUCUGCAAUUUCCCCAGACUGGCUUGGGGCGUGCUCUUGCUUAUCCCGGAAGACCUCUCCACAGGCUGCCAAGCACAGCUUCUCUCCAGUGCACCGAGGGCUCUGGGAUGGAGGGACAUUUGUGCCUCGGCUGUCGGCCAAAUCUGCCUCCUUGACGUGACCCGCUGGAGAACCGUCAGAGGCUCGGAUUGAGAAGUCCGGCUGGGGAAGCUUGGAGGGUGAGAUCUGAGUGUUGCCUGCAUGUUACCAUUUUGAGAGCGUAUUUACAGAGAACUCCUUGACCGGUCACACGCUUGUGCAGAGAACUCCUUGACCGGGGCCCCGUGAUCUGUAGAGAAGGCUGAUAUGACAGUUGGCCCCAAAAUGUGGGUCAUCCCCACCAUGGCUCUCAAAAUUUUUUCUCACUGAUCUUUUCUCCUGGGAUGUUCUGACUUCAUUCAUUCAAUCAUUUAUUCUCUCGUCACCCACACGUUCAUUUUUUCUUUCCUUUAUUCAAUUUUGUUGAAUAAUUUUGUGUAUUAUUAUAUCUGCCUUCCGCCAGGCAGUGCAAAUGUGAAAGGAAUAAGAUGGUGUUUGGCCCUCCAGGAGCUCAGAGUGCAGACAACAUCUGGGAAGUCAGGCAUCCAAACAGACAAGCAGAGCAGUAUGCAAAAGCAGUGUCGGAAUGCUUGGGAAUCACAGAGAGGGGCUAAACUCCUCUGGGGUUGGUAGGCAAAGGCUUUACAGGAGAAGUGAUACUGGGGCGGCUCCUGGAAAACUAAGUGGGGUUCCUCAGGGGGCAGAGGGUGGGGGAGUUGCUGCUGAGGAGACUACCUCAUGAUCUCGGGCUUCUACUAUUCUGGCUGGCUGGGCCAGCUGGUAGUGGCCAGGCCAUGGUCGUACCAGCUCAUGUUCAGCUAGAUCCUUGCUAGGAGUUAGCUCUGUCUGAGGCAGACACAUCGGGAGGCCCUGCCCCGUACCAGAUGCUUGCUCCUGAGGCUCCCAGCCCCAGUCUUUUUCCCUGGGAAACUUCUGCUGCCUGUCAACAUGGCCCUGCAUAGGAAGAGGCUCAGGAGGAGGGGACAGUCUUGGCUGCCUCAGUUGUGCCUCCUGACCACUCAGUAGCAGGCUCCGGGAGGCAAGGCCCAGGUCAGGGGUCUGCCAGAGGGGACCAGAACACGCCUAGCUGAGGGCACACAGCCCAUGUCACAGAGGCCCUAUGUAGGUUUGUGCAUGUGGCAGGGGAAGGGCAAGGGGAAGGGAACUGGAGUGCCCUGAGUACCUACUCAGCGUACCUACUGUGUGCACACGAACAGUUGCGCUUUGCACAUCCAAGCCGUUCAGCCUAGAGAUCCCAUCAUAAAGUGGGGGGCAAGGAGUCCCCAAGUUGGCCUUGCUAGUGUUUGAGAAGUUUCUUGGUACAUUCCUCCGGUUAGAUCCUCCAGUCGAGUUUAUAUGUAUGAAGCUGGGUCCCCCUGAGAGCCCAGAGAAGGGAAGGGCCUUGCUGUGCUUCCAGCCGUACCCCCCGACCCCACCCCCUUCCCCAUCCUUUAUAACAAAGGAAAGAGUAAUGUGGACCCCUCUUCCUUUUCUCUUCCAUGGAACUUCAACUUUGACUGAAGAUGUGUUCCUGCCUGAGGAAUAUUUUCUGUUUCUUCUGCCUGGGGCACUGGUCCCUCAGGUCUUUAUGCUGGUACCUUCUUGUCACUCAGGUCUCUGAUCAAAUGUCACCUACCUUAAAAGGUCAUUGCUGACCAGCCCGUCUAAAGCAGCUUUCACAUGGAUCUCCUUACUGUCUAUUCCAUUAUUCUGCUUUGGCCCCUUAACAUCACUCUGAAAGUUUUGAUUAGUUUGCUUAUUACCUGUCCUCCCCAUUAGAAUGGAAGCUCUCUGAAGACGGGAUUAUUUCUGCAUUUCUCACUGCUGGGCCUUCUAGUAUCCAGCUCAGUUCCUGGCACAUCGUAGGCACUCAGUAACAGCAUAUUUGAAUGAAUGCAUAAAUGAAUGAAUGAGUACACACGUGCAUUUUCCUCAAGGGCUUCUGCUCCUCCCGAGGGCAGCUGCAGCUCGUACUGCUGUCUUGGGGCUCAGAGACAACAAGAAACUCACUAUCCCACCCGUGUGCUUGGGACUGAGCAGAGAGGGAGAACUGUGCAAGGGGCAAGCGGUUUCCAGUAGCGUCCAGUUCUUCUGCUCAGGUACGUGUCUGAGGGGAAGCUCGGACAUAGCAGGGAGCCAGAAAGCGUGAGAGGGGUCCUCUUCGGUGGCUGUAGAGACAAGGGGGCUGGGGCUUAGACUAAGGUCAGUAUUGCAGGUUGCUCGGAGUCUCUGGGGGUGUCAGACGGUUCCCAUCAGUCAGCCCGGCUGCUGGAGUGACUUCCAGGACCACCCCACUGCCGGGGGUUCUGGAAUGGGGAUCCUCUAGGGCUCAGGCACAGGGACAAGUGUUCCUUCCCAGCCUCAUGGGACUCCAUUUUCAACUGGGAAAUCCUUCUCCUUGCUAACAGCACCUGGGUUUUUGGGCCAAGGCUUUCCAAAGAUUGGCCUCCAAGACUUUAUGUGCAGGUAAUAACUUCCAGAGUCAUCCUGGUCCCCACAUGAUCACACCAAGGGAGUGUGUGUUUGUGUGUGUGUGUGUGCGUGCAUUUGCUGCGUCUUAAAAAAUAAAGGAGGGACAGAGUAUCACUCUGAAACCUGCAGUCUUUCUGGUACUUGGCAUCUGAAUCAGAGCCGCUGACUCUGUCCUGGAGGUGAAAACACGGCCUUGGAGCUCGAGGAUCAGGACUCUGUCUGCCGAACACCAGGGCCCCCUCUUUUAUUUCUGCUUCCCACCCUUCCCAGAGCGAGCAGGAGCAAAUGCUGACUAAUGCAUUCGUUGAGAGAACCCACUGCCUCUUCUCCCCAGAGCAAGGCCAGCGUGAGGGACAGUCAGUCUGCAGUUAGGAGCUGCUUCCCCAGAGAGAACACACGGUACCCACCCAGCCCUGCUUCCCGAGCAGAAGAUCUGGGCCGGGCAGCUCCAGCCAGAAAAGGACACCAGGUGUGGCAGA